AAAGGUCAAAGUGUAAUUGUUGACGCUUGGUUACAUAGCGGACGUAAACUACAUAAAUUUACAUUGUGACAGCAAUAGAAACCACCGCUUUAAGGUGGAUAUUUAUAGUUAUAUCGUCUGUCAUUGUUUUAGCAGACACAAUAUUUGAGUGAAUUCCUUUAGUUGAUUACAGUAUUAAUAGUGAAAUAGGUUACUACGACAUUCACAGUGUUGGCUUAAAUUAUACCCGAAAGGAAAAACUACCUCAGCACUGUUCUCUAAUUCUUUCAAAGAUUUUAAAAGCAGGAUGUUUUUACAUAUUUUAAUUAUUGCCACAUGUAUGAGUAUCGUACAAUGUAAAGUUGUGACGUCAUGUGCAGUAUGGCCGGAUAUGAUGGUACAACCAGGUUUUAACUGGAGAGAGAGGUGUAGAAAUUGUACGUGUGUUUUAGGUGUUGGCAGUAAUUGUGACGGACCAACCUGUUCUAUACCAUAUCAUCCUUCACACGAACAGAUCUGUGCAAGAUGGUCAGCUGAUGGAUGUUGUUGUGAACAACUUGGUUGUUUAAAACAUGGACGUGUAUAUGAAGUGGGCAGUUAUUAUCCUAGAUCUAUUGAGAGACCAUGUACAAAAUGUCCAUGUAUGGCUGGUCAACGUAUUCCAUCUUGUACAGUUAAGGGAUGUCGACCGAAAUGUGUUGACAGUGUUAUAGUGGAGGGAAUCUGUUGUCCAGUUUGUCAAAAUGGUCCGAACUGUGAGGUGCCUACACAUUUGUUCUCACAAACAAGUCAAAUGCAAGCCCCGAUUGCAUUGAACCAAUCGACAAUAAUCACUGACCCGUUUGACAAAUCCAAAUCGUUCAUCUGUCAAUGUCAAGUAGCUGGAGGAGUUUCCCAAUGUGAACAUCUCGGCACAUCAAUUCGUCAACCAUUAUUAGAUUUGAUUCGAUCUAUUAUAUCACACAACAAUGUUGUGUAAUUUACAACAGGUGGCGCUGGAAGUAGACAAUAAUCUACUAACCAAGUACUAGUUUAACACAUGACACUAUUGUGUGGAAUACGAGAAACCUCAUCGAAACGUGACCAGAAAUAAAAUUCUUAGUAACUGGUAUUCAAAAAAUAAACUUCUAAGUAACUUCUAUUCCAUAUAAUUGUGUCAUGUGUUAUUCUCAUUCAGUUACUAAAUGUCACUUAAACAACACAUUAGUUAAAUAAACUCCAAUCAAAUAAUAGUUAUCUAGUCAAUAUGGAUGCAGAUUUUAAAUAAUGCUGUUUCACAAACACCCAGUAAGCAAAUAAUAUUUUGCCGUCGCAACUAGUUGGGAUUGUGGGUGUUGUUUAAAUAGUUAUUUAAUUUAAAUUUUGUGUAUUAUACAUUUUAAAAAAGCAAUAAAAUUAUGUUCUUCGUA